rnacentral:rRNA from 1 species
GCUGGAGAACUGAGGGGGGCUGCUCCUAGUACGAGAGGACCGGAGUGGACGCAUCACUGGUGUUCGGGUUGUCAUGCCAAUGGCACUGCCCGGUAGCUAAAUGCGGAAGAGAUAAGUGCUGAAAGCAUCUAAGCACGAAACUUGCCCCGAGAUGAGUUCUCCCUGACUCCUUGAGAGUCCUGAAGGAACGUUGAAGACGACGACGUUGAUAGGCCGGGUGUGUAAGCGCAGCGAUGCGUUGAGCUAACCGGUACUAAUGAACCGUGAGGCUUAACCUUACAACGCCGAAG